AGUUCUGUUAUGCACUUAAUCUGUUUCACUUUGUUGAAUCUAUGAAUGCUAGUGUCUCAUGCUCACCACCUGUUUGUGAAAAUGCUUAUAGAAAGUGUCACACUAGAUUAUCUCCAUUAUCUCAAUAUCUACAGCGAUUAGAUAGUGUGCACCUUAAUGUACUACAUAAUUGAAAUUUCUUUCGCGGUCAUGGAAUAUCCAAAUAUGAAUCGAAGUUGUAGUGUCCUGAUGUUUGCUAAUAGAUUUAGUAGAUAUCUGGUACUAUCAAUGCCUGAUGUUUGCUAAUAGGCCAAAUAAACACUUGAUUGUUAUAGGCCAGCACACUCUCCUGGUCCUGGUGAUGGGCUCAUCUCCCACACUCGCUCGCUCAUGACUGCCUACAUAGCAUCCCUCCCCUAAAUUCAAUAACCUCAGAGAUGUUUGUCUCUACAACAUUUUCGUUGAGUGUGACCCCAAUUGGAUUGACUAUAUAUGUUUGUCCUUGAAGCUGAGUGUCUCUACAAUAUUUUCAUUAUAUUAUUUGAUUACUACAGGAGUAGUAUAGUAUUAUAUAUAUUAUUAUACACGUACUAGUACUAGCUAUCUUCCUAUAUAUGGAUGGGUGCUGGGUUAGUGCUGCUGAUGCCUUACUUUUUUUUUGAGUAAUCUGCUGAUGCCUUACUUAAUUUGCUCAGAUUAGUGAUAAAGAUGUCGUGACCUCAAUUGGUGAUGAUGGCGUGGUAGACAUUGAUUCCUCUGUUUCAUUGGAAACAACAUGUUAUGCAAUGAAAG
rnacentral:lncRNA from 1 species